UCACAGUUGGGAUGUACAUUACGUAGGACAGUCUUCUGCCUGUAUUGGACCAUGUCAGACUGCCUCUCUACAAUCCUCCCCAUCUGUCUUCAGACUACAACGCCUCUACUCUCAUUUCGCCUCGUCUUUCCUGUUUACAUAGAGGAUUUACAACAACCCAGAGAAUCAUGUUGAACUGCUUUACAUAGAGGAUUUACAACAACCCAGAGAAUCAUGUUGAACUGCUUUACAUAGAGGAUUUACAACAACCCAGAGAAUCAUGUUGAACUGCUUUACAUAGAGGAUUUACAACAACCCAGAGAAUCAUGUUGAACAGCUUUACAUAGAGGAUUUACAACAACCCAGAGAAUCAUGUUGAACUGCUUUACAUAGAGGAUUUACAACAACCCAGAGAAUCAUGUUGAACUGCUUUACAUAGAGGAUUUACAACAACCCAGAGAAUCAUGUUGAACUGCUUUACAUAGAGGAUUUACAACAACCCAGAGAAUCAUGUUGAACUGCUUUACAUAGAGGAUUUACAACAACCCAGAGAAUCACGUUGAACUGCUUUACAUAGAGGAUUUACAACAACCCAGAGAAUCAUGAUGAACUGCUUUACAUAGAGGAUUUACAACAACCCAGAGAAUCAUGUUGAACUGCUUUACAUAGAGGAUUUACAACAACCCAGAGAAUCAUGUUGAACUGCUUUACAUAGGGGAUUUACAACAACCCAGAGAAUCAUGUUGAACUGCUUUACAUAGAGGAUUUACAACAACCCAGAGAAUCAUGUUGAACUGCUUUACAUAGAGGAUUUACAACAACCCAGAGAAUCAUGAUGAACUGCUUUACAUAGAGGAUUUACAACAACCCAGAGAAUCAUGUUGAACUGCUUUACAUAGAGGAUUUACAACAACCCAGAGAAGCAUGUUGAACUGCUUUACAUACAGGAUUUACAACAACCCAGAGAAUCAUGUUGAACUGUUUUACAUAGAGGAUUUACAACAACCCAGAGAAUCAUGUUGAACUGCUUUACAUAGAGGAUUUACAACAACCCAGAGAAGCAUGUUGAACUGCUUUACAUACAGGAUUUACAACAACCCAGAGAAUCAUGUUGAACUGUUUUACAUAGAGGAUUUACAACAACCCAGAGAAUCAUGUUGAACUGCUUUACAUAGAGGAUUUACAACAACCCAGAGAAUCAUGUUGAACUGACAAUCAAAAUAUGUUUUCUCUGAUGACAUUUGUAACAUUUGUAACCAAGGAUCUCACUCACUGUAAAGCAUGGUGGUGUAGCUGUCUUCCUGUUUUGUUCCCAACGACCUGGUUGUGGGGUAUCCCCAUUCUUAGGGACUCCCACCCACCCAGACAGUCAUACAGUAUGUCAGUAGGAAAAUGAAUUGAAGUGGAUUGUGUCUAGCGAAAGGUUUGACUAACUGUUGUCAAAGAAGUGCAAGCACACCUCUGGUUACCUCUUUUUGAAAUUAAAGUGUUGCAGAUGAAUAGAAGAUAGAGACUCUGUGGUUGAAUAGAAGAUAAAGACUCUGUGGUUGAUAGAAGAUAGAGACUCUGUGGUUGAAUAGAAGCUAGAGACUCUGUGGUUGAAUAGAAGAUAGAGACUGUGUGGUUGAUAGAAGAUAGAGACUGUGUGGUUGAUAGAAGAUAGAGACUGUGGUUGAAUAGAAGAUAGAGACUGUGGUUGAUAGAUGAUAGAGACUGUGUGGUUGAUAGAAGAUAGAGACUGUGGUUGAAUAGAAGAUAGAGACUCUGUGGUUGAUAGAUGAUAGAGACUCUGUGGUUGAUAGAAGAUAGAGACUCUGUGGUUGAUAGAAGAUAGAGACUCUGUGGUUGAAUAGAAGAUAGAGACUGUGUGGUUGAUAGAAGAUAGAGACUGUGGUUGAUAGAUGAUAGAGACUGUGGUUGAUAGAAGAUAAAGACUCUGUGGUUGAUAGAAGAUAGAGACUCUGUGGUUGAUAGAAGAUAGAGACUGUGGUUGAAUAGAAGAUAGAGACUCUGUGGUUGAUUAGAAGAUAGAGACUCUGUGGUUGAAUAGAAGAUAGAGACUCUGUGGUUUAAUAGAAGAUAGAGACUCUGUGGUUGAAUAGAAGAUAGAGGCUCUGUGGUUGAAUAGAAGAUAAAGACUCUGUGGUUGAUAGAAGAUAGAGACUCUGUGGUUGAUAGAAGAUAGAGACUGUGGUUGAUAGAAGAUAGAGACUCUGUGGUUGAUAGAAAAUAGAGACUAUGUGGUUGAAUAGAAGAUAGAGACUCUGUGGUUGAAUAGAAGAUAGAGACUGUGUGGUUGAUAGAAGAUAGAGAUUGUGGUUGAUAGAAGAUAGAGACUCUGUGGUUGAAUAGAAGAUAGAGACUCUGGGGUUGAAUAGAAGAUAGAGACUCUGUGGUUGAAUAGAAGAUAGAGACUCUGUGGUUGAUAGAAGAUAGAGACUGUGGUUGAAUAGAAGAUAGAGACUCUGUGGUUGAUAGAUGAUAGAGACUCUGUGGUUGAUAGAAGAUAGAGACUCUGUGGUUGAUAGAAGAUAGAGACUCUGUGGUUGAUAGAAGAUAGAGACUGUGGUUGAUAGAAGAUAGAGACUCUGUGGUUGAUAGAAAAUAGAGACUCUGUGGUUGAAUAGAAGAUAGAGACUCUGUUUGAAUAAAAGAUAGAGACUCUGUGGUUGAUAGAAGAUAGAGACUCUGUGGUUGAAUAAAAGAUAGAGACUCUGUGGUUGAUAGAAGAUAGCGACUCUGUGGUUGAAUAGAAGAUAGAGACUCUGUGGUUGAAUAGAAGAUAUAGACUCUGUGGUUGAAUAGAAGAUAGAGACUCUGUGGUUGAAUAGAAAAUAGAGACUCUGUGGUUGAAUAGAAGAUAGAGACUCUGUGGUUGAUAGAAGAUAGAGACUCUGUGGUUUAUAGAAAAUAGAGACUCUGUGGUUGAUAGAAGAUAGAGACUCUGUGGUUGAUAGAAGAUAGAGACUCUGUGGUUGAUAGAAGAUAGAGACUCUGUGGUUGAUAGACGAUAGAGACUGUGGUUGAUAGAAGAUAGAGACUCUGUGGUUGAUAGAAAAUAGAGACUGUGGUUGAAUAGAAGAUAGAGACUGUGGUUGAAUAGAAGUUAGAGACUGUGUGGUUGAUUAGAAGAUAGAGACUCUGUGGUUGAAUAGAAGAUAGAGACUGUGGUUGAAUAGAAGAUAAAGACUCUGUGGUUGAUAGAAGAUAGAGACUCUGUGGUUGAUAGAAGAUAGAGACUCUGUGGUUGAUAGAAGAUAGAGACUCUGUGGUUGAAUAGAAGAUAGAGACUGUGUGGUUUAUAGAAAAUAGAGACUAUGUGGUUGAAUAGAAGAUAGAAACUCUGUGGUUGAAUAGAAGAUAGAGACUCUGUGGUUGAAUAGAAGAUAGAGACUCUGGGGUUGAAUAGAAGAUAGAGACUCUGUGGUUGAAUAGAAGAUAGAGACUCUGUGGUUGAUAGAAGAUAGAGACUGUGGUUGAAUAGAAGAUAGAGACUCUGUGGUUGAUAGAUGAUAGAGACUCUGUGGUUGAUAGAAGAUAGAGACUCUGUGGUUGAUAGAAGAUAGAGACUGUGGUUGAUAGAAGAUAGAGACUCUGUGGUUGAUAGAAAAUAGAGACUCUGUGGUUGAAUAGAAGAUAGAGACUCUGUUGUUGAAUAAAAGAUAGAGACUCUGUGGUUGAUAGAAGAUAGCGACUCUGUGGUUGAAUAGAAGAUAGAGACUCUGUGGUUGAUAGAAGAUAGAGACUCUGUGGUUUAUAGAAAAUAGAGACCCUGUGGUUGAUAGAAGAUAGAGACUCUGUGGUUGAUAGAAAAUAGAGACUCUGUGGUUGAUAGAAGAUAGAGACUCUGUGGUUGAUAGAAAAUAGAGACUCUGUGGUUGAAUAGAAGAUAGAGACUCUGUGGUUGAAUAGAAGGUAGAGACUCUGUGGUUGAAUAGAAGAUAGAGACCCUGUGGUUGAAUAGAAGAUAGAGACCCUGUGGUUGAAUAGAAGAUAGAGACUCUGUGGUUGAAUAGAAGAUAGAUACUCUGGUUGAUAGAAGAUAGAGACUCUGUGGUUGAUAGAAAAUAGAGAUUCUGGUUGAAUAGAAGAUAGAGCCUGUGUGGUUGAUAGAAGAUAGAGACUGUGGUUGAUAGAAGGUAGAUACUCUGGUUGAAUAGAAGAUAGAGACUGUGUGGUUGAUAGAAGAUAGAGACUGUGGUUGAUAGAAGGUAGAGACUCUGUGGUUGAAUAGAAGAUCGAGACUCUGUCGGCUGCGUCCUAAAGUAGUGCACUAUAAAGGGUGCCAUUUCGGACCGCGCCCUGUACUCCCAUUCAGGUCCCUUGAAGGAAAAGCCAUGUGUAGUGUUCUCACUCCGUACGUCAUUCAGCAUGAUGGAUUAAUGCGUUCUUAGGCGAACCCUGUGGUAUAACCUACACGUCCCCUUGAAAUACAUUGAACAUGUGACCUACCACUCUCUGAAUGGUACUGACGUGUUGAGAAUCACAUUGAAAAGGCUAAGGAGUUGAUCCAGAUUGAUGUACGGGUUACAUUAGUAUCAUAGUUGUUUUCCUGCAGCCCCAGGCCUUGGCACUGAUGAUGCCUGCAUUUAUUACGUCUGUAUUAGUUAGGUCUGUGAUCCUGCAAGUGGCUGUGUUUACACAGGCAGCCCAUUCUGAUCUUUUAGUGGCUGUGUUUACACAGGCAGCCCAUUCUGAUCUUUAGUGGCUGUGUUUACACAGGCAGCCCAUUCUGAUCUUUAGUGGCUGUGUUUACACAGGCAGCCCAUUCUGAUCUUUAGUGGCUGUGUUUACACAGUCCGUCCAUUCUGAUAUUUUGCACUAUUAUUGACAAAUGAACUGAUCUGAUUGGUCAAAAGACCAAUUAGUGAAUAGAAUAUCAGAAUUGGGUUAUCCUGUGUAAAUUCAGCCAAUGAUGAGGCAAACCUCACGGGAUACAUUUACUGAUCUGAAGUGAACGUUCUAGAAGAAUGUUCUGGUACCAGUCUGUUGUUUAUUUAUUUACACAUCGUAACCAUGGUGAAUCUACUCUUGUUGUCACUCUCUGUCCAAGUGUACUUAUCAUUGCAUCUAUUUGCGAUCAACUCAACAAAAAAAAAACACAACAAAAAAAUGGAUUUGCUUUCUUUCUUGCGUAGCCUUGCGUCUCUGUGUGAGUCAAACGUUUUUUGGUGUUGAGAUCCACAAGUGACAUCUAGGCAGCUGUGGAAAAUCCAUCGUGACUUUCAUUCUCAUUUUCUCCAUCUCACUGGAUCUUUGUCUUGUCAUAAUACUAGCUAACCAGGAAGUCUAGUUUGGGAAAAAAAUUGUUCAAUGGAGUAUGAUUAUGAAUGAUUAUUCACGAUGAAUAUUGUAAAACAGGAACCAUUGUAUUCAUUGUAUUGAACUGUGAUACCUCUUGUCUCAAAUCAGAGAUCAAUCUCAGGUCUUGAAGGAAAUUCAUGACUCAUAACAGAAAGCCAAGAGACUGCCAUUUAUUAAUUUAAACAUUUUAUUUUACAUUUAUUCAUGAUUUUUAAAUGUGUUAUUGUAUUUUUUUUUUUUUUGUGGGUUUUGUAUUGUGACAACAUAUUUAAACCAUGUUGUAAAAUGUCUACCGGAUGUAAAGUAUCAUACAGUAUUUAUUAUUUUUAAUUUAAGGAUUUGUUUAACAACACUUAGCAAUGUAAAAAAUAAAAUAAUAUUAGUUGAUUCAGAGUUAGAUGAUGUGGUGUAGAAAACCACCACUUUCCCUUGUAUAGAAUGUCCUAUUUACACUGUGUCAAUGUAAGCAUUUGAAGCAGAGUAACACCGAUAUCUGAAUGAUGAUGAUAUCUACCUAGAUAUAGAUAUAGCAGAAUAGAUGUAGACAUAGUAGAACUAGAGUAGUUUGACUGCAUGGCUGCAGAGGAGACGAUGCCUCCCCAGAUACCCUUACCAGAGGUUAGCCCUUUGAGCUAAAAGGCUGAUAGCUCAGUAACUGGUUGGUUACAUAGGGAAAAGGUAAAGGAAGGUUAACCCUUCAGGCUAAAGGCCGAUAGUAACUGGGUUAGUAACUGGUUGGUUACAUAGGGAAAAGGUAAAGGAAGGUUAACCC
ensembl:lncRNA